GGUUAAGCGACUAAGCGUACACGGUGGAUGCCCCGGCAGUCAGAGGCGAUGAAGGACGUGCUAAUCUGCGAUAAGCGUCGGUAAGGUGAUAUGAACCGUUAUAACCGGCGAUUUCCGAAUGGGGAAACCCAGUGUGAUUCGUCACACUAUCAUUAACUGAAUCCAUAGGUUAAUGAGGCGAACCGGGGAACUGAAACAUCUAAGUACCCCGAGGAAAAGAAAUCAACCGAGAUUCCCCCAGUAGCGGCGAGCGAACGGGGAGCAGCCCAGAGCCUGAAUCAGUGUGUGUGUUAGUGGAAGCGUCUGGAAAGGCGCGCGAUACAGGGUGACAGCCCCGUACACAAAAAUGCACAUGCUGUGAGCUCGAUGAGUAGGGCGGGACACGUGGUAUCCUGUCUGAAUAUGGGGGACCAUCCUCCAAGGCUAAAUACUCCUGACUGACCGAUAGUGAACCAGUACCGUGAGGGAAAGGCGAAAAGAACCCCGGCGAGGGGAGUGAAAAAGAACCUGAAACCGUGUACGUACAAGCAGUGGGAGCACGCUUAGGCGUGUGACUGCGUACCUUUUGUAUAAUGGGUCAGCGACUUAUAUUCUGUAGCAAGGUUAACCGAAUAGGGGAGCCGAAGGGAAACCGAGUCUUAACUGGGCGUUAAGUUGCAGGGUAUAGACCCGAAACCCGGUGAUCUAGCCAUGGGCAGGUUGAAGGUUGGGUAACACUAACUGGAGGACCGAACCGACUAAUGUUGAAAAAUUAGCGGAUGACUUGUGGCUGGGGGUGAAAGGCCAAUCAAACCGGGAGAUAGCUGGUUCUCCCCGAAAGCUAUUUAGGUAGCGCCUCGUGAAUUCAUCUCCGGGGUAGAGCACUGUUUCGGCAAGGGGGUCAUCCCGACUUACCAACCCGAUGCAAACUGCGAAUACCGGAGAAUGUUAUCACGGGAGACACACGGCGGGUGCUAACGUCCGUCGUGAAGAGGGAAACAACCCAGACCGCCAGCUAAGGUCCCAAAGUCAUGGUUAAGUGGGAAACGAUGUGGGAAGGCCCAGACAGCCAGGAUGUUGGCUUAGAAGCAGCCAUCAUUUAAAGAAAGCGUAAUAGCUCACUGGUCGAGUCGGCCUGCGCGGAAGAUGUAACGGGGCUAAACCAUGCACCGAAGCUGCGGCAGCGACGCUGAUGCGUUGUUGGGUAGGGGAGCGUUCUGUAAGCCUGCGAAGGUGUGCUGUGAGGCAUGCUGGAGGUAUCAGAAGUGCGAAUGCUGACAUAAGUAACGAUAAAGCGGGUGAAAAGCCCGCUCGCCGGAAGACCAAGGGUUCCUGUCCAACGUUAAUCGGGGCAGGGUGAGUCGACCCCUAAGGCGAGGCCGAAAGGCGUAGUCGAUGGGAAACAGGUUAAUAUUCCUGUACUUGGUGUUACUGCGAAGGGGGGACGGAGAAGGCUAUGUUGGCCGGGCGACGGUUGUCCCGGUUUAAGCGUGUAGGCUGGUUUUCCAGGCAAAUCCGGAAAAUCAAGGCUGAGGCGUGAUGACGAGGCACUACGGUGCUGAAGCAACAAAUGCCCUGCUUCCAGGAAAAGCCUCUAAGCAUCAGGUAACAUCAAAUCGUACCCCAAACCGACACAGGUGGUCAGGUAGAGAAUACCAAGGCGCUUGAGAGAACUCGGGUGAAGGAACUAGGCAAAAUGGUGCCGUAACUUCGGGAGAAGGCACGCUGAUAUGUAGGUGAAGUCCCUCGCGGAUGGAGCUGAAAUCAGUCGAAGAUACCAGCUGGCUGCAACUGUUUAUUAAAAACACAGCACUGUGCAAACACGAAAGUGGACGUAUACGGUGUGACGCCUGCCCGGUGCCGGAAGGUUAAUUGAUGGGGUCAGCGCAAGCGAAGCUCUUGAUCGAAGCCCCGGUAAACGGCGGCCGUAACUAUAACGGUCCUAAGGUAGCGAAAUUCCUUGUCGGGUAAGUUCCGACCUGCACGAAUGGCGUAAUGAUGGCCAGGCUGUCUCCACCCGAGACUCAGUGAAAUUGAACUCGCUGUGAAGAUGCAGUGUACCCGCGGCAAGACGGAAAGACCCCGUGAACCUUUACUAUAGCUUGACACUGAACAUUGAGCCUUGAUGUGUAGGAUAGGUGGGAGGCUUUGAAGUGUGGACGCCAGUCUGCAUGGAGCCGACCUUGAAAUACCACCCUUUAAUGUUUGAUGUUCUAACGUGGACCCGUAAUCCGGGUUGCGGACAGUGUCUGGUGGGUAGUUUGACUGGGGCGGUCUCCUCCUAAAGAGUAACGGAGGAGCACGAAGGUUGGCUAAUCCUGGUCGGACAUCAGGAGGUUAGUGCAAUGGCAUAAGCCAGCUUGACUGCGAGCGUGACGGCGCGAGCAGGUGCGAAAGCAGGUCAUAGUGAUCCGGUGGUUCUGAAUGGAAGGGCCAUCGCUCAACGGAUAAAAGGUACUCCGGGGAUAACAGGCUGAUACCGCCCAAGAGUUCAUAUCGACGGCGGUGUUUGGCACCUCGAUGUCGGCUCAUCACAUCCUGGGGCUGAAGUAGGUCCCAAGGGUAUGGCUGUUCGCCAUUUAAAGUGGUACGCGAGCUGGGUUUAGAACGUCGUGAGACAGUUCGGUCCCUAUCUGCCGUGGGCGCUGGAGAACUGAGGGGGGCUGCUCCUAGUACGAGAGGACCGGAGUGGACGCAUCACUGGUGUUCGGGUUGUCAUGCCAAUGGCACUGCCCGGUAGCUAAAUGCGGAAGAGAUAAGUGCUGAAAGCAUCUAAGCACGAAACUUGCCCCGAGAUGAGUUCUCCCUGACUCCUUGAGAGUCCUGAAGGAACGUUGAAGACGACGACGUUGAUAGGCCGGGUGUGUAAGCGCAGCGAUGCGUUGAGCUAACCGGUACUAAUGAACCGUGAGGCUUAACCUU
rnacentral:rRNA from 1 species